rnacentral:rRNA from 1 species
UACGGGGGGAGCAAGCGUUGUUCGGAUUUACUGGGCGUAAAGGGCGCGUAGGCGGCGUGACAAGUCACUUGUGAAAUCUCCGGGCUUAACUCGGAACGGUCAAGUGAUACUGUCGGACUAGAGUACAGAAGGGGCAACUGGAAUUCUCGGUGUAGCGGUGAAAUGCGUAGAUAUCGAGAGGAACACCUGCGGCGAAGGCGGGUUGCUGGGCUGAUACUGACGUGAGGCGCGAAAGCCAGGGGAGCGAACGGG